AGGGUUUGAUUAUGGCUCAGAAUGAACGUUGGCGGCGUGGAUUAGGCAUGCAAGUCGAGCGAGAAGUCUUAGUUUGAAGCUUCGGCCGAUUUCUAAGAUGGACAGCGGCGUAAGGGAGAGUAAUGAGUGGAUUACCUACCCCCAGGACCGGGAUAGCUGUGGGAAACCGCAGGUAAUACCGGAUAAUAUCUCCGGAUCAAAUGGUGAGAUUCCGCCAGGGGAUGGGUCCUCUUCCUAUUAGCUUGUUGGUGGGGUAAUGGCCUACCAAGGCAAUAAUGGGUACCGGGUGUGAGAGCAUGGCCCGGCUCACUGGGACUGAGACACUGCCCAGACACCUACGGGUGGCUGCAGUCGAGAAUCUUCCGCAAUGGGCGAAAGCCUGACGGAGCGACGCCGCGUGCGGGAUGAAGGCCUUCGGGUUGUAAACCGCUGUCAGUUGGGAGGAAAUCUAUGAGGGUCAUCCCUCAUAGUUGACCUAUCAUCAGAGGAAGGACGGGCUAAGUUCGUGCCAGCC
rnacentral:rRNA from 1 species